GAGAGAACUUAUUGGCCUUUUGC
rnacentral:siRNA from 1 species